AGAGUUUGAUCCUGGCUCAGGACGAACGCUGGCGGCGUGCCUAACACAUGCAAGUCGAACGGAGCUUGAGAAGCUUGCUUCUCAAACUUAGUGGCGGACGGGUGAGUAACGCGUGAGGAACCUGCCUUGGAGAGGGGAAUAACACUCCGAAAGGAGUGCUAAUACCGGAUGUGAUCAUCUUGCCGCAUGGCAGGAUGAAGAAAGAUGGCCUCUACAAGUAAGCUAUCGCUAAAGGAUGGGCCUGCGUCUGAUUAGCUAGUUGGUAGUGUAACGGACUACCAAGGCGAUGAUCAGUAGCCGGUCUGAGAGGAUGAACGGCCACAUUGGGACUGAGACACGGCCCAGACUCCUACGGGAGGCAGCAGUGGGGAAUAUUGCACAAUGGGGGAAACCCUGAUGCAGCGACGCCGCGUGGAGGAAGAAGGUCUUCGGAUUGUAAACUCCUGUUGUUGAGGAAGAUAAUGACGGUACUCAACAAGGAAGUGACGGCUAACUACGUGCCAGCAGCCGCGGUAAAACGUAGGUCACAAGCGUUGUCCGGAAUUACUGGGUGUAAAGGGAGCGCAGGCGGGAGAACAAGUUGGAAGUGAAAUCCAUGGGCUCAACCCAUGAACUGCUUUCAAAACUGUUUUUCUUGAGUAGUGCAGAGGUAGGCGGAAUUCCCGGUGUAGCGGUGGAAUGCGUAGAUAUCGGGAGGAACACCAGUGGCGAAGGCGGCCUACUGGGCACCAACUGACGCUGAGGCUCGAAAGUGUGGGUAGCAAACAGGAUUAGAUACCCUGGUAGUCCACACCGUAAACGAUGAUUACUAGGUGUUGGAGGAUUGACCCCUUCAGUGCCGCAGUUAACACAAUAAGUAAUCCACCUGGGGAGUACGACCGCAAGGUUGAAACUCAAAGGAAUUGACGGGGGCCCGCACAAGCAGUGGAGUAUGUGGUUUAAUUCGACGCAACGCGAAGAACCUUACCAAGUCUUGACAUCCUGCGACGAUGCUAGAAAUAGUAUUUUCCUUCGGGACGCAGAGACAGGUGGUGCAUGGUUGUCGUCAGCUCGUGUCGUGAGAUGUUGGGUUAAGUCCCGCAACGAGCGCAACCCUUAUUGUUAGUUGCUACGCAAGAGCACUCUAGCGAGACUGCCGUUGACAAAACGGAGGAAGGUGGGGAUGACGUCAAAUCAUCAUGCCCUUUAUGACUUGGGCUACACACGUACUACAAUGGCGUUAAACAAAGAGAAGCAAGACCGCGAGGUGGAGCAAAACUCAGAAACAACGUCCCAGUUCGGACUGCAGGCUGCAACUCGCCUGCACGAAGUCGGAAUUGCUAGUAAUCGUGGAUCAGCAUGCCACGGUGAAUACGUUCCCGGGCCUUGUACACACCGCCCGUCACACCAUGAGAGCCGGGGGGACCCGAAGUCGGUAGUCUAACCGCAAGGAGGACGCCGCCGAAGGUAAAACUGGUGAUUGGGGUGAAGUCGUAACAAGGUAGCCGUAGGAGAACCUGCGGCUG
rnacentral:rRNA from 1 species